rnacentral:tRNA from 1 species
ACUUUUAAAGGAUAGUAGUUAUCCAUUGGUUUUAGGAACCAAAAAAUUGGUGCAACUUCAAAUAAAAGUA